GGGCGUUUAGCUCAGUUGGGAGAGCGCCGCCCUUACAAGGCGGAGGUCACUGGUUCAAGCCCAGUAACGCCCACCA
rnacentral:tRNA from 1 species